GACGAACGCUGGCGGCGUGCUUAACACAUGCAAGUCGAACGCUGAAGACCUGGCUUUUGUUGGGUUGGAUGAGUGGCGAACGGGUGAGUAACACGUGAGUAACCUGCCCUCUUCUUUGGGAUAACGCCCGGAAACGGGUGCUAAUACUGGAUAUUCACUGGCCUUCGCAUGGGGGUUGGUGGAAAGGUUUGUUCUGGUGGGGGAUGGGCUCGCGGCCUAUCAGCUUGUUGGUGGGGUGAUGGCCUACCAAGGCUUUGACGGGUAGCCGGCCUGAGAGGGUGACCGGUCACAUUGGGACUGAGAUACGGCCCAGACUCCUACGGGAGGCAGCAGUGGGGAAUAGUGCACAAUGGGCGAAAGCCGGAUGCAGCGACGCCGCGUGAGGGAGGGAGGCCUGCGGGUUGUAAACCUCUUUCGCUCAUGGUCAAGCCGCAACUGUGGGUUGUGGUGAGGGUAGUGGGUAAAGAAGCGCCGGCUAACUACGUG
rnacentral:rRNA from 1 species